GCUCUCGUCGUUCAAUGGAUAGGAUGUUCCCCUCCGAAGGGAACGAUGUCAGUUCGAUUCUGACCGAGAGCA
rnacentral:tRNA from 1 species